rnacentral:rRNA from 1 species
UACGAAGGGGGCUAGCGUUGCUCGGAAUUACUGGGCGUAAAGCGCACGUAGGCGGAUCGAUCAGUCAGGGGUGAAAUCCCAGAGCUCAACUCUGGAACUGCCUUUGAUACUGUCGAUCUGGAGUAUGGAAGAGGUGAGUGGAAUUCCGAGUGUAGAGGUGAAAUUCGUAGAUAUUCGGAGGAACACCAGUGGCGAAGGCGGCUCACUGGUCCAUUACUGACGCUGAGGUGCGAAAGCGUGGGGAGCAAACAGG